rnacentral:piRNA from 1 species
UGGUCUGCAGAGCGAGUGCCAGG